CAGAUAGACAGGCUGUUUUUCUUUCAUGGGGUCGCCAUUCCUGUGGGUGAAAAUGACGAUAGAAGCGUGUAAUAUGAAUCGUGACAGUUCUGUGUCAGACGCGGGACAUGAUGCGGAGGUGCAGAGGGUGAAAGAUAAAUGAUAAAGAAGCAAUGAAUUUCAGGUUUGCUUCCGCCUUAAAGUCUCCAUAUUCACAGGCACCAGAAGUUCAUCUAAGACACCAUGACUUAAACCAGGUCCUGAGGAAAUGACAACAACGUUAAGAUGAGACUCUUCUAAAUCAGCCCCAAUAAGAAUGCAACGUUUUGACUUUAUCAAAGAGGAUAUUCUCUAUGAGGUCUUUUAGCCGAAGUCCUCAAACUGUAGACUAGCAUCUUGGUGCAUCUCUGAUCCUCCCUAGAUUGGCGUAUUAAUCAGGACUCUAGAUUACAAGUGACAGAAAUAAAAUCAAAUGGUGCAAAGAAA